CCACUAGAAAGUGUUUAAGAAAGUAAAUCUUAGUCAGGAAAAACAGAUUUGGUCUUGCCUGUGUGGUUCACCAGGAUCCCACCAGGUCAGAUAAGUGUCCUGACUCCAUCUUGCUGAAAAUAACUGGACCUGAGCAGGCAAGACAACGAAGAAUCGUAGGAGGGAGAUAUGUGGAUUAGGAAAGGACUCUGGCAAAUCUGCGUGAGGAUGAUGACCUCUUCAUUAUCACUGUGGAAAAGGGGAAGAUCCCUGCUAAGCUUGAGCAAGGCGAAAUGAGGGCAAAAUUUUGCAGACUGAACAUUUUCAAAGCAUAGUCUAGAAAAACUGAGGAGAAAAUAUCUCACUAAUAAAUAUUUAUUAAAAGUAGAAAAAUUGCCUCAGCUGUGAAAGACAACUAUUACUGAAGCAUGAAAAAAGGAUGUUGAGCCACUUAAAAAGUACAAUUUUAAAUGUAAUGCAAACUAUAUCAUGCAUAAAUCAGAACCUUUUUAAUUGACCAAAACUAA